AUACCUUUCUCGGCCUUUUGGCUAAGAUCAAGUGUAGUAUCUGUUCUUAUCAGUUUAAUAUCUGAUAACGGGAACCUAUGGGACUAAGUUUAUGAUUAAUUACUAAACACAUUGAAAUUCUAUGAUUCACUAAGUUUUCAGGGUAACUUGAAAACACAUUGG
rnacentral:snRNA from 1 species